UAUGCCCACAUCAUGUUGAAAUACCAGUUCCCAUAUGUUCACUGAAGUUAAGCAUUGUUGAUCCUGGUCAGUACAGAGAUGGGUGACUGCUUGGGAAUACCAGGUGG